AUGCUCGCUACGGCGGCACAUAUACUAAAAUUGGAUCGAUACAGAGAAGAUUAGCAUGGCCCCUG
ensembl:snRNA U6 U6 spliceosomal RNA